CGACUAUAUUCAUUGGGCCCGGACCAUGUUUAUUUACACUUCGCUACAUAAUCCCUCGGUGCGUCCCCGGAGGACAAGGAAAGUGUUACGGACCAACCAUAUUUUGUUUUUCCAGGAUUUACUUUGUGUUUUUAUGUGUGUAUGUGCAAACAUGAGUGUGCCUGAUACUACCUGAAGGCAGAAGACAGUGUCAGACCUCCUGGAAUUGCUCUUAUAGAUGGUUGUGAACGACAUGUAAGGUCUCAUGUAGCACAGAGUAUCCAUGGACUUGCCCCAUCAUACUGUUCUGGUGAUCAAACCCAAGGCCACCUGAGCACCUUCCCAGACAUCUUGCCAUCUCCAACCCCCACCAGACUAGAGAUCAAGACCAAGGCCUGGUGUCCCCAGGUACCUAGUAUGACAACCCACUGCAUCCAUCUGUUCAUUGAACCAGUGACUACAGAAGAAUGAAUUAUUUCCACAUUUGGCACAGUUGUCCAACUACAGUAUGAGUACUCUGCCUGAAUGUAUGCCUGCAUGCCAGAAGAGGGCAUCAGAUUUCAUUACAGAUGGUCAUGAGCUGCCUUGUGGUUGCCAGGAAUUGAACUCAGGACCUCUGGAAGAGCAGCCAGUGCUCCAACCCCAUGCUAACCACCCUUUAAUACAAGUCCUCAUGCUGUGGUGAUCCCCAACCAUAAAAUAAUUUUUGUUGCUACUC